rnacentral:rRNA from 1 species
AUUGAACGCUGGCGGAAUGCUUUACACAUGCAAGUCGAACGGCAGCACGGGGGCAACCCUGGUGGCGAGUGGCGAACGGGUGAGUAAUACAUCGGAACGUGCCCAGUCGUGGGGGAUAACGUAGCGAAAGUUACGCUAAUACCGCAUACGAUCUAUGGAUGAAAGCGGGGGACCGUAAGGCCUCGCGCGAUUGGAGCGGCCGAUGUCAGAUUAGGUAGUUGGUGGGGUAAAGGCCCACCAAGCCGACGAUCUGUAGCUGGUCUGAGAGGACGACCAGCCACACUGGGACUGAGACACGGCCCAGACUCCUACGGGAGGCAGCAGUGGGGAAUUUUGGACAAUGGGCGCAAGCCUGAUCCAGCCAUUCCGCGUGCAGGACGAAGGCCUUCGGGUUGUAAACUGCUUUUGUACGGAACGAAAAGGUCCUGGUUAAUACCCGGGGCUCAUGACGGUACCGUAAGAAUAAGCACCGGCUAACUACGUG